AGAAUCAACGCUGGCGGCGUGCCUAACACAUGCAAGUCGAACGAGAAAGUGGAGCAAUCCAUGAGUAAAGUGGCGACCGGGUGAGUAACACGUGACUAACCUACCUUCGAGUGGGGAUAACCUCGGGAAACCGAGGCUAAUACCGCAUAACAUCGCAAGAUCAAAGCAGCAAUGCGCUGGAAGAGGGGUCGCGGCUGAUUAGCUAGUUGGCGGGUAAUGGCCCACCAAGGCGAAGAUCGGUA
rnacentral:rRNA from 1 species